GGUAGUGUAAGAGACUACCAAGGCGACGAUCAGUAGCUGGUCUGAGAGGAUGAUCAGCCACACUGGGACUGAGACACGGCCCAGACAACUACGGUUGGCAGCAGUCGGGAAUUUUGCUCAAUGGGGGAAACCCUGAAGCAGCAACGCCGCGUGAGGGAUGAAGGCCUUCGGGUUGUAAACCUCUUUUCUCAGGGACGAUAAUGACGGUACCUGAGGAAUAAGCAUCGGCUAACUCCGUGCCAGCAGCCGCGGUAAUACGGAGGAUGCAAGCGUUAUCCGGAAUGAUUGGGCGUAAAGGGUCCGCAGGUGGAACUGAAAGUCUGCUGUUAAAGAAUCUGGCUCAACCAGAUAAAAGCAGUGGAAACUACAGAACUAGAGUACGUUCGGGGCAGAAGGAAUUCCUAGUGUAGCGGUGAAAUGCGUAGAUAUUAGGAAGAACACCGGUGGCGAAAGCGUUCUGCUAGGCCGUAACUGACACUGAGGGACGAAAGCUAGGGGAGCGAAUGGGAUUAGAUACCCCAGUAGUCCUAGCUGUAAACGAUGGAUACUAGGCGUGGCUUGUAUCGACCCGAGCCGUGCCGUAGCUAACGCGUUAAGUAUCCCGCCUGGGGAGUACGCACGCAAGUGUGAAACUCAAAGGAAUUGACGGGGGCCCGCACAAGCGGUGGAGUAUGUGGUUUAAUUCGAUGCAACGCGAAGAACCUUACCAAGGCUUGACAUCCCGCGAAUCUUUCUGAAAGGAGAGAGUGCCUUCGGGAGCGCAGAGACAGGUGGUGCAUGGCUGUCGUCAGCUCGUGUCGUGAGAUGUUGGGUUAAGUCCCGCAACGAGCGCAACCCUCGUUUUUAGUUGCCAGCAUUAAGUUGGGCACUCUAGAGAGACUGCCGGUGACAAACCGGAGGAAGGUGAGGAUGACGUCAAGUCAGCAUGCCCCUUACGCCUUGGGCUACACACGUACUACAAUGCUACGGACAAAGGGCAGCUACACAGCGAUGUGAUGCAAAUCUCAUAAACCGUAGCUCAGUUCAGAUCGAAGGCUGCAACUCGCCUUCGUGAAGGAGGAAUCGCUAGUAAUUGCAGGUCAGCAUACUGCAGUGAAUUCGUUCCCGGGCCUUGUACACACCGCCCGUCACACCAUGGAAGUUGGUCACGCCCGAAGUCAUUACCCCAACCGAAAGGAGGGGGAUGCCGAAGGUAGGACUGGUGACUGGGGUGAAGUCGAAACAAGGUAGCCGUACCGGAAGGUGUGGCUG
rnacentral:rRNA from 1 species